UUCACUGCAACCUGCAACUUCUGACCUCAAGCAAUACUCCUGCCUCAGCCUCCCAAUGUGCUGGGAUUACAGGUAGAAGCCACUGGUCCCAACUUUAAAGUGCCUCUUUUACACAGCAGAUAUACUCAAGAUGCAAGAAGACUGAAGGGAAGAUGAGCAGAAGGAAGGGAAGUACAGUGCGCGGGGAAGGAGUGACAAUGAAAAAGAAGGUAAAAGAAGAAAGAAGGAUAGAAAGAUAAGAAUGCUACUUGUAACCACCAUUCAUAAUCUCUGGAUGGCAAAUGCUUUUUUUUGAAAAGAAGAAAAGAGACAAGACAGUAUCUCUAUAAUCCCUAAUUAGCUGAUUGUACAGACUGUAUAUUUCCAUUUCAAAUGUUGAAUUAAGGCACCUAAAUUAGGAGGAAGUAGACAACAUUCCAAAUUUUUUCCAUAAAAACUGAAAUUACAUGUUAAUCAGUUCACUCAAAAUCUGGGAGUUUAGUGACUUUUGCAGCCAACUUCUCUCUUUUUUUUUUUUUUUAAAUAUGGCAAACAUUGACAAUUUUAACCUUAAAUUUCUUAACCAAAAGAAUCAGAAUAAUUCCACAAACUGAGUAACACAUCGGAAAGUUUGGUAGAGCUCAGCCCAAAAUGACUAAAUGAGAAAGAGAGUGACAAAGAUCCAUAGUACAUUCUUGAGUUUCCAAAGGAUGUACUUCAAAGAGAAUAUCAAGGAAGAAUUUACAUUUCAUAAAAUCUAUAAGGGGAAAGUUUUCUGAACAUUUCUAUACUUUAUUCCAAGUAAGGUAAAUUUAAGUUAAAACUCAGCUGAAUAAAACCAACGACAGCCAAAUAGCGGCAAUUUCCUCUAGGCCUCUGCUUUUGUUCCAAACUACCCAUUUAAAGAAAGAAAAAGCCUUGCAACAGGAUUCUAGACUGACCCAAGAAUAUGCCAUUUUGACAAAUAUUUGUUCAUUAUUUGAGAUUCCUUCCCUCUCUCUGUGACUAGAAGAAUAGAGGGGGAAAAAAGAAAACAGAAAAACCAGUAAACUUUCCUCAGAAGCAAAAUAAGUUUCCUAAUAGAAGUUAAACAGAAGAAAACAGCAAGUGGUCAGGACAGGCACCGUGUCCUAUUUGUUUACUUAUUUUUAUCUUCAGUGCCUAACACACUGCCCAGCACCUAUGAUACAGUUAACAAAUGUGUACUGAAUAUGAGUGAAUGAACAAAUAAAUGUUACAAGAAAAGGGAAGGCACAAAAUGCUGGAGACUAUUUAGCAAGUGAGACUCUUCCCAAAAUACUUGUUUUUCCCCCUUUGAGGAAGGGACCCAGAUUGAGCCUUAACAAAGGGACCUCUCCUUAGGAGUAUCCUUAAGGGGUAAAAUGAUGUCAGCAUUAUGGUAAUAACAAAUGACAUCAGUAUUUGAGAUAAUUACUGGGGUAAAACAAGCAAUAGGGACCCUGUAACCACCUAGCAUUGGUUGCAAAUGUUUUUGCCACCAGAUUUUACUCUACACCCAUUGACUCUGAUUUGGCAUAAUGAUGAUACCACAUUUGGAGCAUGCUGAGGGAACCAUAACCCCUUCCCUCUCAAGAAAGCCAACAUAGCAGCCCAUGGGCUCCUGUUUGCAUUUGCCAUUAAGGACACUGUAAUUGGUGUUUAAUGCAGAAAGGAAAGCUACCUCAAAUCCAUUUUAGACAUAGAUGGGUAUUAUCAGUACGGUCCUGGCAAGAAAAACAGCAUACUCAAAUGAAGUAUUCAAGAAAACUUAAUGAAGGAACCAUUUCAAAAGGUACAGGUAGGGUUUAGGGAAAACAGCAAAAGAUGGUGGUAUAUCUUCAGGUUAGCCACAUCAGGAAGCCAUUAUCAUCUCCAGGUCUAAAUGGGCUAGGGAAGGGUUAUCAGAACCCAGAAAGACGUGUAACUAUAGGUGUCUGGCAGAGGGCCAUUAUUGAAUACGAGUUGUGAACAGCUUUGGCAACACCAAAUCCAGCAAGAGGGAACUAGCUCUUAGGGAGAUCCUUUCUGAUGUCCCUCACACUGGGCAAAGCUAAUCUGAAACCAAAAAGGAAGCGAUCAGUUGAUGUAGUCCAUGGAAUUCAUUUCCCAGAGCCACAGAGCAGAGUGGAGAAAAGAUUUGGAAGGGCAAAUGGAACACACGCAGCACAGAAAGAUAUUCUAAAUGAUUGUCAAACAGCAAAACACAGGUACAUGGAAUCAAAGUUUUGUCAGUUCCAUCUAAAUUUAGAUACUGUGAGGCUGCCUGCAAAUAAGUCAUAAACACUGGUACUUACUUGGGUUCCUACCGCCCUGUAUCAAGUUGGAAAAGGGAAAAACAAAGAAGCUACAAGUAAUUCCAGGUAACUUCUGACCUUUCUGCAUCUCUAAGAGUAAACAGACAGGUCAUUUAUUUACAGUGAAGCAGAUGUUAGACAAUGCCCUUCUCUUUGCUCAAAGGGAACAUAUUCCAAACGUCCAUUAUCAUACUUAUCAUGAUGUAUUAUAACCUCUUUUUUAUUUCUUCCUCAUUGGACUCUGAGCCCUUUAGGGUAGGGAUUAUCUUAUUCAUCUUUGUAUCCCUAGAACCCUAACAUCCUACUGGCCACAAAGCUAGCCUUCAAUCAAUAUGCACUGAACAAAUUAAUGGACUCAGUGUCCAUUAAUUGGCAGCCUAAUGCCAUAGUGGCUAAAAUCUGAAAUGACCCUUAGCAAUUAAACACUAAUAAGUUGUAUUCAUGACAUGGUUUAAUACACUGGGCUAAAACAUUGCCCCUUUCAUACCAGCCUACCACCAUUCUCUGUAGAGCUUUUCUCAUGCACUCAGAUAAUGUAUACGGCCUGUUCUACAGUCACAGAACACAUCAUAAAAAGAAACAAAGACAGAUGGCAAGACUAUGUUCCAUUUCAGAAAGGAAUCACAUACACAUUAUCUCUCAAAAUUCUCAUUCUUUUUUCCAAGAAUUUACCAGAUCCACUUGAGGAACUAACACACAUUACUUCUCAAAAUUCUCAUUCUUUUUCCAAGAAUUUAUCAGAUCCACUUAAGGAACUAAUAAUUUGAACAUGUAUAUAGAGGAAAUCGUGUUUGACACUGAUGAUAAAGAUGAUAUAGGGACAGAAACAUAUAUAUACACACACACACGCACACACAAGGCAUGUUCAAUGAUCACUUCAACACAUCACUCUUAGUAAAAUUAUAAAGUAGUUGUAUAACAGGUUCACGUAACAUCAUCAUAUUAAAAUGGCUAUACUGUAUGAUGUUGAGGUGGUCAUUAACAGAAUCUGGAAUGUAUUCACAUUAUAAUUAUGAACCACUUUCACAUAACCCUGUACUUACAAAGUGCUUAAUCAUCUUUCUGUUCUAACAGUCAAUUCUUACCUGUAGAUUCUCCACAGAAAAAGGAAAUUUAUGCCAGGUUGAAACCCCUCUUCAAGCUACCGUGAUUUUAGGCUACCAAUCUCCUGCUGUCAGUAAAAUGAAUCCAAAUCAAAUUUAAUAUAA